rnacentral:rRNA from 1 species
UAGGGAAUCUUCCGCAAUGGACGAAAGUCUGACGGAGCAACGCCGCGUGAGCGAAGAAGGUCUUAGGAUCGUAAAGCUCUUUUGUCAGGGAAGAACAAGUGCCGUUCGAACAGGGCGGUACCUUGACGGUACCUGACGAGGAAGCCACGGCUAACUACGUGCCAGCAGCCGCGGUAAUACGUAGGUGGCAAGCGUUGUCCGGAAUUAUUGGGCGUAAAGCGCGCGCAGGCGGUUCCUUAAGUCUGAUGUGAAAUCUCGCGGCUCAACCGCGAGCGGCCAUUGGAAACUGGGGAACUUGAGUGCAGGAGAGGGGAGCGGAAUUCCACGUGUAGCGGUGAAAUGCGUAGAGAUGUGGAGGAACACCAGUGGCGAAGGCGGCUCUCUGGCCUGUAACUGACGCUGAGGCGCGAAAGCGUGGGGAGCGAACAGG